AACCGAAUAUAAUCUACAAUUACAACUAUAGACAUCGAAAUAACUAUUUUAAAUAUCUACAGUUCAAUUAUAACAUUUGCAUGUGCCACUUGAUCAAGUGCAGACAAACAAGCAAUUCCAAUAAUUCUCAUCGAGAACUUGAUGGAGUUGGUCAAUGGAGAUCUAGAAACUAACUUGCAUGAUGAAAAUAAGUUAAUUUGAGUUUUACUAAUGUUCUAAAAAUAAGAUACUAUCAUAUAAAGUUAUUCAACUGUACAACUUACUUCG
rnacentral:lncRNA from 1 species